rnacentral:rRNA from 1 species
GACGUAGGGCGCGAGCGUUGUCCGGAUUUAUUGGGCGUAAAGAGCUCGUAGGCGGCUUGUCGCGUCGACCGUGAAAACUUGGGGCUCAACCCCAAGCCUGCGGUCGAUACGGGCAUCACUGGAGUUCGGCAGGGGAGACUGGAAUUCCUGGUGUAGCGGUGAAAUGCGCAGAUAUCAGGAGGAACACCGGUGGCGAAGGCGGGUCUCUGGGCCGAUACUGACGCUGAGGAGCGAAAGCGUGGGGAGCGAACAGG